UGGGGGAUAUUGCACAAUGGGCGAAAGCCUGAUGCAGCGACGCCGCGUGGGGGAUGAAGGCUUUCGGGUUGUAAACCUCUUUCGCUAUCGAACAAGGCCCGCUUAGGGUGGGGUGAGGGUAGGUGGAGAAGAAGCGCCGGCUAACUACGUGCCAGCAGCCGCGGUAAUACGUAGGGCGCGAGCGUUGUCCGGAAUUAUUGGGCGUAAAGGGCUUGUAGGCGGCUUGUUGCGCCUGCUGUGAAAACGCGGGGCUUAACUUCGGGCAUGCAGUGGGUGCGGGCAGGCUUGAGUGUGGUAGGGGUGGGUGGAAGUCCAGGUGGAGCGGUGGAAUGCGCAGGUAUCGGGAGGAACACCGAUGGCGGAGGCAGGUCACUGGGCCAGUACUGACGCUGAGGAGCGAAAGCAUGGGUAGCGAACAGG
rnacentral:rRNA from 1 species